GGGGCAAUAGCUCAGUUGGGAGAGUGUGUGACUGAAGAUUCGGUUCUGGAGUAUCAUAAGGUCCCUGGUUCGAUCCCGGGUUGCCCCA